rnacentral:lncRNA from 1 species
CUUGUCUUUUAUUACUUAAUCAUCUGUUGUUUAUAAAUCAUUCUAAAGAAGUAAAUGGAAAGGAGCGAAUGCAGCUACAUUUGGUUGUAUUAAGUUUAAAUUCAUGUUAUUCCGUUUAGUUCCUUUUCUACAUAUGUGCAGUGGAGAACUGCAGUUGUCCACAUGUAAACUUCAAGCAUUUGUUACCAAUAUGAGUACAUCGCAAUCCGUUACUGUUUCAACACCCAGGGUGGUUUCAUGUCUUUAUUCUUAAACAAUUAUUGUUUUUUUUUCUCUCUUUUUUUAGCAAUGCAUCACUCUCUACUGUCCUUAUCUUUUAUUUAUAUUCUGUAUCUCCAUCCAGAUUCUCGUGUAUACCAUGAGGGUCGGAUUGGGGUGUUGAUUAUUUCUGUAUUCUUUAAAUUGUUAUGUUACUUUUCUAUACAUUUUAUUUAUCUUACUCAUUAUUCUUUCUCUAUUCUUUAUAUUUAGGCAUCCCAAUAUAUUUUUACUUACUGAUGUUUAGUUACAUUACGACGUUAAUCUCUGAUUUAUAUACUGGUUACCAAUGUAGAUGACAAAUUGGUGUCAUUCAUGACAAUAAAACAGAAUCCACAGAAUAUAUGCGACCAUUCUCGGAUAAAAUUAAUUUUACUUUAAUUUAACACUUUUUGAAACCACUUUUAUCAAUUUUCAAUAUCCAUUGCCUAAAUUGUUAAUCGUUCAUGUGUUUUGUUUCCAUAUAUUUUAUAUUGCAUUGCUCAUGUUUUGUUUCCGUAUAUAUUUUA